rnacentral:rRNA from 1 species
AGCGAACGCUGGCGGCAGGCCUAACACAUGCAAGUCGAACGAACCUUUCGGGGUUAGUGGCGGACGGGUGAGUAACACGUGGGAACGUGCCUUUAGGUUCGGAAUAACUCAGGGAAACUUGUGCUAAUACCGAAUGUGCCCUUCGGGGGAAAGAUUAAUCGCCUUUAGAGCGGCCCGCGUCUGAUUAGCUAGUUGGUUGAGGUAAUGGCUCACCAAGGCGACGAUCAGUAGCUGGUCUGAGAGGAUGAUCAGCCACAUUGGGACUGAGACACGGCCCAAACUCCUACGGGAGGCAGCAGUGGGGAAUCUUGCGCAAUGGGCGUAAGCCUGACGCAGCCAUGCCGCGUGAAUGAUGAAGGUCUUAGGAUUGUAAAAUUCUUUCACCGGGGACGAUAAUGACGGUACCCUGAGAAGAAGCCCCGGCUAACUUCGUG